UACAGAGGGGGCAAGCGUUGUUCGGAAUUACUGGGCGUAAAGGGCGCGUAGGCGGCAAUUCAAGUCAGCUGUGAAAUCUCCGAGCUUAACUCGGAACGGUCAGCUGAUACUGCUUUGCUAGAGUGCAGGAAGGGCAAUCGGAAUUCUUGGUGUAGCGGUGAAAUGCGUAGAUAUCAAGAGGAACACCUGAGGCGAAGGCGGGUUGCUGGGCCAACACUGACGCUGAUGCGCGAAAGCCAGGGGAGCAAACGGG
rnacentral:rRNA from 1 species